UACGUAGGGGGCAAGCGUUGUCCGGAAUUAUUGGGCGUAAAGGGCUCGUAAACGGUUCGUCACGUCGGGAGUGAAAACUCGGGGCUUAACCCCGAGCCUGCUUCCGAUACGGGCAGACUAGAGGUAGGCAGGAAAGAGCGGAACUCCUGGUGUAGCGGUGGAAUGCGCAGAUAUCAGGAAGAACACCGGUGGCGAAGGCGGCUCUCUGGGCCUUACCUGACGCUGAGGAGCGAAAGCGUGGGAGCGA
rnacentral:rRNA from 1 species